GGCAGACGGGUGAGUAACGCGUGGGAAUCUACCCAUCUCUACGGAAUAACGCAUGGAAACGUGUGCUAAUACCGUAUACGUCCUUCGGGAGAAAGAUUUAUCGGAGAUGGAUGAGCCCGCGUUGGAUUAGCUAGUUGGUGGGGUAAAGGCCUACCAAGGCGACGAUCCAUGGCUGGUCUGAGAGGAUGAUCAGCCACACUGGGACUGAGACACGGCCCAGACUCCUACGGGAGGCAGCAGUGGGGAAUAUUGGACAAUGGGCGCAGGCCUGAUCCAGCCAUGCCGCGUGAGUGAUGAAGGCCCUAGGGUUGUAAAGCUCUUUCACCGGUGAAGAUAAUGACGGUAACCGGAGAAGAAGCCCCGGCUAACUUCGUGCCAGCAGCCGCGGUAAUACG
rnacentral:rRNA from 1 species